CAAAUAAUGUAAAUAUGACGGUGCAUCACGAAAGAUUGAUAUGAAACUGAUCACUUGACCAAUAUUACGUUACUUGCUCUUCAAGUGAAUCAACAAAUGGCAAAAUGAAAAGCCGAACAAAUGCUAUUUUUUUUAGAGAGUCUUAGCUUACGUGUGUUUAUUUCAUAUUUUCAGUUCUUACCCUCCCCGACUAAAUCGGUUUCAGUUAUGUACUGAAAUAUAAGAAUGGACAUAAGGAGCUUCUUUCAAAGAAAAAACUCAGGGAGACCCUUCUUCCCCCCAGUAUGGAUCAGAGCUCAUCUAAAGAGGUUAUCUUGCAGUUUAAGAUUCCUUAUCGACAAUCUUU
ensembl:lncRNA